rnacentral:rRNA from 1 species
CGCGUAGGCGGGAGAGCAAGUCAGAUGUGAAAUACCGGGGCUCAACCCCGGGGCUGCAUUUGAAACUGUUUUUCUUGAGUGAUGGAGAGGCAAGUGGAAUUCCUAGUGUAGCGGUGAAAUGCGUAGAUAUUAGGAGGAACACCAGUGGCGAAGGCGACUUGCUGGACAUUAACUGACGCUGAGGCGCGAAAGCGUGGGGAGCAAACA